rnacentral:lncRNA from 1 species
AUCUUUCAAAACUAGCUUUGCCACUGUACUUCGUCCCAUGCCAACCUGGUGAUAACUUAAUAUUAAUUAUCCAUCAUGUGUCAUGGAUAUUAUAAUACCAUUUUUCCUAGGAAAGUGCAUCUGCUAUGCAAGCAUCAAGGUGAGACGCCAAGUUUAUCACAUACGAAUUAGGAAUCUAAUAUAGAUAUAAGCUGAAGAAAUUUAGAAUACAUUCCAUUUGACACGGUAUUUAUAACAGAACUCCAUUAACACCUUUCGUCUAAGGGCAGGCACAGACAAGUUGAAGAGAUGUUAUUAAAGAAGGAUGUGAGAUAGUUCAUAAAAUUUUGACAGAAAGACAACAAAAAUGGGGAAAGAAAAAAUGAGAGAUAAUCACCUUGACUUCGCUUUGACCCUUUCCUCUCAUUUCUUGACUAAAUAGAAAUUAGAGGACUAAUGAGUUUUUAUGCACACACUAUCUGCCUCCUAGAGCACAGCAGAAUUGAGAUGGUGGAAAGUGAAUGUUAAGACCAAAUGGAAAGAAACCAACAAAUGUGGCUCUCUUUCACUCUGGUCAAGUUGAUACAUAAAUAACCCUACAGUAAUUUUUCAUGGAAACACUUUAUUUCAAAUCUCGUAAUUAUUUUUCCGUUAAACCUUUUCAAUUUUUUUAAUUUCAAACUUUGCAUGUUCAUAAAUUCAUUUUUUCUAUAGAUUGUAUACCUGCUUUGCAUGUGGGUCUGAAUGUGCUACAUGUACAUGUUCAUUUUUUAAUUUCACUCAGUUUUGGAGACUCACAUUGAGCUCAUCAAGUGUCCUUUAAUUUCUCUUUCUU